rnacentral:rRNA from 1 species
UGGGGAAUUUUGCGCAAUGGGGGAAACCCUGACGCAGCAACGCCGCGUGAGUGAUGAAGGCCCUUGGGUCGUAAAGCUCUGACAGAGGGAAAGAAGUGUAUUGUGGCUAAUAUCCACGAUACUUGACGGUACCCUCAAAGGAAGCACCGGCUAACUCCGUGCCAGCAGCCGCGGUAAUACGGGGGGUGCAAGCGUUGUUCGGAUUUAUUGGGCGUAAAGCGCGUGUAGGCGGUUUUAUAAGUCUGAUGUGAAAGCCCUGGGCUCAACCCGGGAAGUGCAUUGGAUACUGUAAGACUUGAAUACGGGAGAGGGUAGUGGAAUUCCUAGUGUAGGAGUGAAAUCCGUAGAUAUUAGGAGGAACACCGGUGGCGAAGGCGGCUGCCUGGACCGAUAUUGACGC